GCAUAGAGAUUAUAAAUAACACUAGAGGAGGCAUUGUAAUCUUAAUUCAGCAAAAAAAAGGGAACGCGACUAUUGGGGGGCAAAUUCAAGUCCCGGAUGUGUAUUCGUGUUCCCAUUGGUGACGAGUUUCAAAUCAGCCAAUGAGAGCACGAUUUUAUAGCCGGGACUUGAAUUUGCCCCCCAUUAGCUGCGUUCCCAAUUUUUAAACUCGAUGCCUCCUCUAGUGUUAUUUAUAAUCUCUAUGGUGGUGAGGAUGACCACCACUAUGACACAGAGUAGAUAAGACAUACAGAGACGUAACUGACCGUUGUAAACACUGCGGAAGAUUACGUUAUCAUGUACCCACUUUUUUCA